AGCUCCAAUAGCGUAUAUUAAAGUUGUUGCAGUUAAAAAGCUCGUAGUUGGGUUUGUGGAAAUUUUUGAAGUCCAAUUUUGGUGCUUUCAUGAUUUUCCAUCAUUAAGGGGAAUCUGGGUGGCAUUAGGUUGUUGCACAGGGGAUACUUAUCGUUUACUGUGAAAAAAUUAGAGUGUUCAAAGCAGGCUUAUGCUGAUGAAUAUAUUAGCAUGGAAUAAUGAGAUAAGACCUUGAUACUAUUUUGUUGGUUUGUGCACCAAGGUAAUGAGUAAUAGGGACAGUUGGGGGUAUUCGUAUUCCAUUGUCAGAGGUGAAAUUCUUGGAUUUUUGGAAGACGAACUACUGCGAAAGCAUUUACCAAGGAUGUUUUCA
rnacentral:rRNA from 1 species